rnacentral:rRNA from 1 species
ACUUAAAUUGAAGAGUUUGAUCAUGGCUCAGAUUGAACGCUGGCGGCAGGCCUAACACAUGCAAGUCGAGCGGUAGCACAGAGAGCUUGCUCUCGGGUGACGAGCGGCGGACGGGUGAGUAAUGUCUGGGAAACUGCCUGAUGGAGGGGGAUAACUACUGGAAACGGUAGCUAAUACCGCAUAACGUCGCAAGACCAAAGUGGGGGACCUUCGGGCCUCAUGCCAUCAGAUGUGCCCAGAUGGGAUUAGCUAGUAGGUGGGGUAACGGCUCACCUAGGCGACGAUCCCUAGCUGGUCUGAGAGGAUGACCAGCCACACUGGAACUGAGACACGGUCCAGACUCCUACGGGAGGCAGCAGUGGGGAAUAUUGCACAAUGGGCGCAAGCCUGAUGCAGCCAUGCCGCGUGUGUGAAGAAGGCCUUCGGGUUGUAAAGCACUUUCAGCGGGGAGGAAGGCGUUAAGGUUAAUAACCUUGGCGAUUGACGUUACCCGCAGAAGAAGCACCGGCUAACUCCGUGCCAGCAGCCGCGGUAAUACGGAGGGUGCAAGCGUUAAUCGGAAUUACUGGGCGUAAAGCGCACGCAGGCGGUCUGUCAAGUCGGAUGUGAAAUCCCCGGGCUCAACCUGGGAACUGCAUUCGAAACUGGCAGGCUAGAGUCUUGUAGAGGGGGGUAGAAUUCCAGGUGUAGCGGUGAAAUGCGUAGAGAUCUGGAGGAAUACCGGUGGCGAAGGCGGCCCCCUGGACAAAGACUGACGCUCAGGUGCGAAAGCGUGGGGAGCAAACAGGAUUAGAUACCCUGGUAGUCCACGCCGUAAACGAUGUCGAUUUGGAGGUUGUGCCCUUGAGGCGUGGCUUCCGGAGCUAACGCGUUAAAUCGACCGCCUGGGGAGUACGGCCGCAAGGUUAAAACUCAAAUGAAUUGACGGGGGCCCGCACAAGCGGUGGAGCAUGUGGUUUAAUUCGAUGCAACGCGAAGAACCUUACCUGGUCUUGACAUCCACAGAACUUUCCAGAGAUGGAUUGGUGCCUUCGGGAACUGUGAGACAGGUGCUGCAUGGCUGUCGUCAGCUCGUGUUGUGAAAUGUUGGGUUAAGUCCCGCAACGAGCGCAACCCUUAUCCUUUGUUGCCAGCGGUUCGGCCGGGAACUCAAAGGAGACUGCCAGUGAUAAACUGGAGGAAGGUGGGGAUGACGUCAAGUCAUCAUGGCCCUUACGACCAGGGCUACACACGUGCUACAAUGGCAUAUACAAAGAGAAGCGACCUCGCGAGAGCAAGCGGACCUCAUAAAGUAUGUCGUAGUCCGGAUUGGAGUCUGCAACUCGACUCCAUGAAGUCGGAAUCGCUAGUAAUCGUAGAUCAGAAUGCUACGGUGAAUACGUUCCCGGGCCUUGUACACACCGCCCGUCACACCAUGGGAGUGGGUUGCAAAAGAAGUAGGUAGCUUAACCUUCGGGAGGGCGCUU